rnacentral:rRNA from 1 species
CCUACGGGCGGCAGCAGUAGGGAAUAUUGCUCAAUGGGGGAAACCCUGAAGCAGCAACGCCGCGUUGAGGAUGAAGGUUUUAGGAUUGUAAACUCCUUUUGUUAGAGAAGCUUAUGACGGUAUCUAACGAAUUAGCACCGGCUAAAUCCGUGCCAGCAGCAGCGGUAAUACGGCGGGUGCAAGCGUUACUCGGAAUCACUGGGCGUAAAGAGUGCGUAGGCGGGGUAAUAAGUCAGAUGUGAAAUCCUGUAGCUGAACUACAGCACUGCAUUUGAAACUGUUACUCUAGAGUGUGGGAGAGGUAGGUGGAAUUCUUGGUGUAGGGGUAAAAUGCGUAGAGAUCAAGAGGAAUACUCAUUGCGAAGGCGACCUGCUGGAACAUUACUGACGCUGAUGCACGAAAGCGUGGGGAGCGAACAGGAUUAGAUACCCGUGUAGUC